UUCACAUUGUUUGCAAUAACUUUGGAUUUUUUCUGAAAGUUGUAAGCUUAGCUUGAGCAAAACAAAUAAUAAUGACGGUCAAGUUCCUGAAUUGGCAAAAAUCUACAAAGAUGUUCAUUUCAAUCCAAAUACAAAUAGGUGGAUACAGCCUGAGGAUGAAGCGACAUAUGAAACUAUUCUUAAAGUGCAAGAGGAUCAUUGUCAAGAUCCUAAUGCAAUUCCCCUUACACAAGAGGAGAUCUCAAAUUUGGUUUUUAAGAAGAAAUCCGGUAUUGUAAAAGGACUUGACAUGAGACCUUCCUCUUCUCUAGUAACCACUGCCUCAUCUAAUUCCUCGGUGGAGUAUAUUCAUCGGUUAGAAAGUGAGAUAAUUGAGCUCAAAGAGGCAAGAGCCAGGGACGAAGAGGAGCGAGCUAAGGAGCAAGAGGCGCGAGCUAAGCAAGAUGAGGUCCAAAACAAUAUUCUUAAUUUUUUGAGGAGCAAGGGUUAUGAUGAUGCUUUUACUUAUGGAGGUGGUUCAUCUUCAAGCUAAAUCACUUAUUGAUUUCUUAUUGGUGGAUUUAGGGGAUUUCAUUUAGGCAUUAUUUGAAGACAUAUGAGGACAUCUUCCAUUAGUUCUAAGUAUAUUGUGCCA